GGGCACUCUGGAGAAACUGCCCGUGAUAAGCGGGAGGAAGGUGUGGAUGACGUCAAGUCCUCAUGGCCCUUACGGGUUGGGCUACACACGUGCUACAAUGGUAGUGACAAUGGGUUAAUCCCAAAAAGCUAUCUCAGUUCGGAUUGGGGUCUGCAACUCGACCCCAUGAAGUCGGAAUCGCUAGUAAUCGCGUAACAGCAUGACGCGGUGAAUACGUUCCCGGGCCUUGUACACACCGCCCGU
rnacentral:rRNA from 1 species